rnacentral:rRNA from 1 species
AGCAGCCGCGGUAAUUCCAGCUCCAAUAGCGUAUAUUAAAGUUGUUGCAGUUAAAAAGCUCGUAGUUGAAUUUCGGGAUCAAUAUGUUGGUCGUGCCUUGGUACGUACUGGCAUUAUUGGUUUCUACCUUCUGAAGAACCUCGAUGUCAUUAAUUUGGUGUCUUGGGGAAUCAGGACUGUUACUUUGAAAAAUUAGAGUGUUUAAAGCAGGCUCGCGCUUGAAUACAUUAGCAUGGAAUAAUGAAAUAGGACGUUUGAUUCUAUUUUGUUGGUUUCUAGGAUCGACGUAACGAUUAAUAGGGAUAGUUGGGGGCAUUAGUAUUCAAUUGUCAGAGGUGAAAUUCUUGGAUUUAUUGAAGACUAACUACUGCGAAAGCAUUUGCCAAGGAUAUUUCAUUAAUCAAGAACGAAAGUUAGGGGAUCGAAGACGAUCAGAUACCGUCGUAGUCUUAACCAUAAACUAUGCCGACUAGGGAUCGGAUGAUGUUAAUUUUUAUGUACUCA